CUACAGUGUCAUGACGUGACAAAGUACCAUGCUUCUGAAAGGCUUUAAUUGGCACGCAAAACAACAUGAAUCCUCUUAGCUCUUCAUAAAAAAACAGAUUGUUCUUGCCAGCAAGUCAUAUCUUCUGCUCAGGUGUUAUUCCAAGAAGACACAAAUGUUUGCAGAUAAAGGGGAAGGAAAAGAUCAUCUGAAGUAUUCCAGUGGAAGAGAGAACAGUGUUACAAGUCUGGAUUUGUUUGCUUUUUAAAAAUACAUGAAUCUGGAAGCCUUCUAAGGAGAUGAGAACUUAAUACUGGGUACUAUCUUUAGUACAUGGCCCAAGGGAAUAGAGAAAAAAACCUGAUGUUGUACCAGGAAAGACAUCAACCACCCUGUGGCAUUACUGCAG